rnacentral:misc_RNA from 1 species
UCAAACUUGGUCAUUUAGAGGAAGUACAAGUCGUAACAAGGUUUCCGUAGGUGAACCUGCGGAAGGAUCAUUAACAAAUCGUGUUGUGUAUAGUGUGUGUGUAGAUUAAUAUAUCUAUCUACCACAUAUAUCAUAUAUACACAUACAUAUAUGUGCUCCAGGCAUUUCGCCUGGUUGCUACAAAUAUAUAUAUAUAUUCAUUAUUGUAUAGUUGUAUUUUUAGUUAUAAAAUUAAUGUGAACACUUUUAACAAUGGAUCUCUUGGCUCUUGCAUCGAUGAAGAACGCAGC